GGCAUCCACAAGUGAGAAAACAAGUCAUACGAAGACAACAGUGUGAAAUGAACGAUAUAGAGGAGUAUGAAUGGAAAAAUUGAAUAAGGGUUUCGACUUCAGUCAAGUGGAGAAAACUCUGCACAGAGAAAAGGUAGCAUGUCAUAUUACAAGAAGAAAAUUCUCCGGCGUGCAUGUUUGGUUCAUGGCAAUAUCCUAUCUCAAGACUCGGGUGGCUCCUGAAUUGAUAACAUCAUAGUGUAAUUAAGGGGAAAAGCAAGGGGAACCUGCUAC
rnacentral:lncRNA from 1 species